UAGCUAUUAUUACCCAAUAGUAGGUAAGAACUGGCAAGUUCUUAGCUAUUAUUACCCAAUAGUAGGUAAGAACUGGCAAGUUCUUAGCUAUUAUUACCCAAUAGGAGGUAAGAACUGGCAAGUUCUUAGCUAUUAUUACCCAAUAGGAGGUAAGAACUGGCAAGUUCUUAGCUAUUAUUACCCAAUGGGAGGUAAGAACUGGCAAGUUCUUAGCUAUUAUUACCCAAUGGGAGGUAAGAACUGGCAAGUUCUUAGCUAUUAUUACCCAAUAGGAGGUAAGAACUGGCAAGUUCUUAGCUAUUAUUACCCAAUAGGAGUUAAGAACUGGCAAGUUCUUGGCUAUUAUUACCCAAUAGGAGGUAAGAACUGGCAAGUUCUUGGCUAUUAUUACCCAAUAGGAGGUAAGAACUGGCAAGUUCUUGGCUAUUAUUACCCAAUAGGAGGUAAGAACUGGCAAGUUCUUGGCUAUUAUUACCCAAUAGGAGGUAAGAACUGGCAAGUUCUUGGCUAUUAUUACCCAAUAGGAGGUAAGAACUGGCAAGUUCUUGGCUAUUAUUACCCAAUAGGAGGUAAGAACUGGCAAGUUCUUGGCUAUUAUUACCCAAUAGGAGGUAAGAACUGGCAAGUUCUUGGCUAUUAUUACCCAAUAGUAGGUAAGAACUGGCAAGUUCUUAGCUAUUAUUACCCAAUAAUAGGUAAGAACUGACAAGUUCUUAGCUAUUAUUACCCAAUAGUAGGUAAGAACUGACAAGUUCUUAGCUAUUAUUACCCAAUAGUAGGUAAGAACUGGCAAGUUCUUAGCUAUUAUUACCCAAUAGUAGGUAAGAACUGGCAAGUUCUUAGCUAUUAUUACCCAAUAGUAGGUAAGAACUGGCAAGUUCUUAGCUAUUAUUACCCAAUAGUAGGUAAGAACUGGCAAGUUCUUAGCUAUUAUUACCCAAUAGUAGGUAAGAACUGGCAAGUUCUUAGCUAUUAUUACCCAAUAGUAGGUAAGAACUGGCAAGUUCUUAGCUAUUAUUACCCAAUAGUAGGUAAGAACUGGCAAGUUCUUAGCUAUUAUUACCCAAUAGUAGGUAAGAACUGGGAGUAAACAGUAUAUUUAAACGUGCUUUGGCUUUUAAACCAACAAUGUAUUAUUUGACUUAAAGCUGUUGUGUUACAGGGCAGUUGUGCAUCAGCUGUACUGACGUAAGGUGUUAUGUUGGGUAGCCAAGGUGUCUUAAAAAAAAAAAA